UGGGGAAUAUUGGACAAUGGGGGAAACCCUGAUCCAGCGACGCCGCGUGGGUGAAGAAGGCCUGCGGGUUGUAAAGCCCUUUCGGUGGGGAAGAAAAGCCUCGACCUAACACGUCGGGGUAUUGACGUAACCCACAAAAGAAGCACCGGCUAACUCUGUGCCAGCAGCCGCGGUAAUACAGAGGGUGCGAGCGUUAAUCGGAAUUACUGGGCGUAAAGCGCGCGUAGGCGGCUAUACAAGUCGAGUGUGAAAUCCCCGGGCUCAACCUGGGAACUGCAUUCGAGACUGUAUGGCUUGAGUAUGGGAGAGGGAGGCGGAAUUUCAGGUGUAGCGGUGAAAUGCGUAGAUAUCUGAAGGAACAUCAGUGGCGAAAGCGGCCUCCUGGACCAAUACUGACGCUCAUGUGCGAAAGCGUGGGGAGCAAACAGG
rnacentral:rRNA from 2 species